CACAAUCCUCCGUUCUCAAUUAACCAAACAUAUCUCUAAUCAAUCCUUUUUCUUUCCUCUUAUAAUUUUCCUUCAAUUUCCCGAGAAAAUUUCUAAUCCUAAUCUACUUAUUUUCAUUCUACUCCGAUGGCCAUGGCCCAAAACUCCAUCCCUCCAUAUUCAACCGACGACAUUGGCGCAACUACUCCGACGACAUUGGCCCAAAACUCCAUACAACACUUCUCAGCUUUCAUUCCAUCCAUGAUCGUUUAGGCUUUAGAGAAACCUUAACUACAGUCACACGAAGGGCCAGAUUAAGCUGGCUUUUUACCACUACUAGCUCUGUAAUUGGCACACUAACGGAACCGCUCGAAUUGCAAGAUUUUCUUCUUGUUAUUUCCUUUAGAGAGUUCGAUCGCAUCAAUGUUCGAGAUUGAGACCGAAUGGCCAGUCAGAGAAGUGAUGAGGUUGGGGACUCGUUUGAGAUUCGUGCCACGUCGUAUUGUACUUGGUAAUGACCUUGAUAGGUUUCGUUUCCAGUUGAGAGUUGGAGUCCGCUUGCCGCGAAUUGGACUUAUGGGGGAAUAAAAGUAGAAAUUUGAUAAGCAGUUCUUAAUGCUACCCCACUUCAUUGCCAGGGUGCAACAUAGGUGUUAGGCUGAGAGACUGAAAUCAUUUGAUACGUCUAUUUUGGCUUCAAAAUGAAGAGUUUCAUGCCUAUACCUGACGGUGUUGAACUGCAUCCACUAGUAUUUGAUGUUUCCUGCAAUGGUCUUGCUGCCAUGGUAUGCUUGUUAAUUAUUUGAUAUCCUUAUUUGUUGGAUUUUAGUAAUUUGGAUAACUAAUAGGAGUAAAUCAUGGGUGUCAUUGUGUAUAUGCAAGUGGGCUGUUACAGCUUGAAAAGUGCAGGAUGUUAAUUGAAAUUCUAUGCUUAUCAACAAUAAAGAGAAUUGAUUUAUAGCUUACAUUCUUAA